ACUUACUUCGAAACUUGCACCCCUGGAAAACUCUUGAUGUUAAAAGAGCUUUACAAUCUACAGGUGAAAUGAUCACAGCUCUCAGAAACUCAUCCCUCAACCUUUUUACUCUAGUCCUUUGUGACCUACCAGCAUCCAGCAUCUGAAGAGGUCCUUCACUUAACACCUCUUUUUCACAACAGGAAUAGACAUAACUUUCUCAGAGAUGGAUGUUCCAGCUCUGUUAGUCACUGGGCUGCUUCUAUACUUGAGCAUUGAGAACCAUCUCUAGAAAAUGUUUUUCUUUCACUCUAUUAAUGAUACAAGAUGUCCAGAUGAUUCCUGUAGGAAUGACUGUCCUGGGUUGGACCAAUGACUCAUCAACUCAAGUGAUCAACGUGGACUUCUAGGAAAACAGUGCAAGAACAAGCAAGCAUAUUGAAAGCUAUGUCUGCUGAAUAUUCUCCCAGACCCUCAUAUGUUGUGACUCAGGGACUUCUUCAGUCAGAGGAAGAUUCUGUGAUUAAUAGUUUUCAAAGGAUGUUUCUCCAUGAAGUUGUUUGAAACAUCCACAGCCAGCAAGAUAAUGAAUCUGUAGAUGGCUAAAGUUAGAAACAAGCAGCUCAGUCUCUAAACCCUGUACUUUAUUGCUGUUCUAGAGCAAUUUUUUAUUUUUACUCCUGAUGGCAUUGUAUUGUCCCCUUUCUUUCCAUAGGAAAAGAAAGUCAUGAUGUCACAGUAACUGUCAGCCUGAACACUAUUCAGAAUGUGGGGUAUAUCCCUGCGGCAGGCUAAAUCAAGUGGUCAAAGAAAGCAGUGUAAGUGAAGAUCAUAUCCCAGAGAAGCUGUGGAUGCCCCAUGUGUGGAAGUGUUCAAGACCAGGUUGGAUGGGGCUUUGAACAACCUGGUCUAGUGGAAGAUUAAAGGCUGGAGGAGGAAUUGAGGGAUAAGAGGAAUGAAAACAAGAUGCAGGUCCUUUCUACUCAACAAAUAACCAUACUCUCUAGAAGUGGCUUGGAGCCAGGACUUUGUUUCAAGUGCACCUCUGAACUUGGCCCACCACACUUCCCAGGAGAAAAAAAACAAUAGGAAGGCCUUGAUGGAGAAUGAGAGAAGGAUUGGAUCUUUAGCCACAAGAGGAAUCAAAAUGUCAUGAUGAAGAUUACAAAUGUCAUCUUCCUACACGCAUUUCCUAUGGUUAUUCUGGGAGAAGAGAGAGAGAAUGGGAUUUUCUCCAAGAAGCUCCUUUUUCCUUUUUUUCAUUUCACCUUGAGUUCAAAAUAAAUCAACAGAAGAUGAGGUCUCCACUGUACACUCUUUACUGCGAUGCUUCUCAGAUAGUUUUCUCAUUUGUUAAUAGAAUCAUAGAACCAUUAAGGUUGGAAAAGACCUUCAAGAUCAGCAAGUCCAACCUUUGACCAAAUACCACCAUACUAACUAAAUCAUAUGGUGAAGGUUGAAAUUGAUCUCGUGAUCUUGUUGCACAGAUUUAGGCCAAAUACUUGCUUGAUGGAAUGGAUUCUGAGUAGGGCAUGGCAAGGGUCUUAGUGCUGAAGACCAAGAAUAUCUGUUGCCGAAUACUCCCGGAGCAAGCUGGUGACAAGACCGAGGAUAAGGCACCCUGUGGGGACUAAAAGUAAUACAUGGAGUAGU